ACUGAACGCUGGCGGCAUGCCUUACACAUGCAAGUCGAACGGUAACAGGUCUUCGGAUGCUGACGAGUGGCGAACGGGUGAGUAAUACAUCGGACGUGCCUAGUAGUGGGGGAUAACUACUCGAAAGAGUGGCUAAUACCGCAUGAGAUCUACGGAUGAAAGCAGGGGAUCGCAAGACCUUGUGCUACUAGAGCGGCCGAUGGCAGAUUAGGUAGUUGGUGGGAUAAAGGCUUACCAAGCCGACGAUCUGUAGCUGGUCUGAGAGGACGAUCAGCCACACUGGGACUGAGACACGGCCCAGACUCCUACGGGAGGCAGCAGUGGGGAAUUUUGGACAAUGGGCGAAAGCCUGAUCCAGCAAUGCCGCGUGCAGGAUGAAGGCCUUCGGGUUGUAAACUGCUUUUGUACGGAACGAAAAGCCCCGGGUUAAUACCCUGGGGUCAUGACGGUACCGUAAGAAUAAGCACCGGCUAACUACGUGCCAGCCGCCGCGGUAA
rnacentral:rRNA from 1 species